CCUAUUUACAGAAGACAAGGCCAGCAGUUAUUGUGAGGAAAAUGGGGCAGCCGUUGCAACUUAUUUAAAACACAGUUUUGCAUUUUGUAAAGAUGGUGUUGCUCAGGUUCUGGCUUUAGGCCAGCACAAUAUCACACA